GACGAACGCUGGCGGCGCGCUUAACACAUGCAAGUCGAACGGAAAGGCCUGCUUUCCCUUGUGGAUUGCGGGUACUCGAGUGGCGAACGGGUGAGUAACACGUGAGUGAUCUGCCCCCAACUUGGGUAUAAGCCUGGGAAACUGGGUCUAAUUCCCGAUAGGACUGCAGGGUGGUGCCUGUGGUGGAAAACGAUUUUCUAGUGGUUGGGGAUGAGCUCGCGGCCUAUCAGCUUGUUGGUGGGGUAAUGGCCUACCAAGGCGGCGACGGGUAGCCGGCCUGAGAGGGUGGACGGCCAAAUUGGGACUGAGAUACGGCCCAGACUCCUACGGGAGGCAGCAGUGGGGAAUAUUGCACAAUGGGCGGAAGCCUGAUGCAGCGACGCCGCGUGGGGGAUGACGGCCUUCGGGUUGUAAACUCCUUUCGACCGCGAGGAAGCCACCUGGUUGGAAGGGUGGUGGCGGUAGUGGCAGAAGAAGCACCGGCUAACUACGUG
rnacentral:rRNA from 1 species